UGCGUAGGCGGCGCGGUAAGUCGGGUGUGAAAUCUCGGAGCUUAACUCCGAAACUGCAUUCGAUACUGCCGUGCUUGAGGACUGGAGAGGAGACUGGAAUUUACGGUGUAGCGGUGAAAUGCGUAGAUAUCGUAAGGAAGACCAGUGGCGAAGGCGGGUCUCUGGACAGUUCCUGACGCUGAGGCACGAAGGCCAGGGGAGGCAAAACCGG
rnacentral:rRNA from 1 species